UACGUAGGGGGCAAGCGUUGUUCGGAAUUACUGGGCGUAAAGGGCGCGUAGGCGGCACAGCAAGUCGGGAGUGAAAGCCCGGGGCUCAACCCCGGAAUGGCUUUCGAAACUGCUGAGCUAGAGUACAGAAGGGGCAACCGGAAUUCCCAGUGUAGCGGUGAAAUGCGUAGAUAUUGGGAAGAACACCUGAGGCGAAGGCGGGUUGCUGGGCUGAUACUGACGCUGAGACGCGAAAGCGUGGGGAGCAAACAGG
rnacentral:rRNA from 1 species